rnacentral:rRNA from 1 species
GAUGAACGCUGGCGGCGUGCCUAAUACAUGCAAGUCGAGCGAACAGACGAGGAGCUUGCUCCUCUGACGUUAGCGGCGGACGGGUGAGUAACACGUGGAUAACCUACCUAUAAGACUGGGAUAACUUCGGGAAACCGGAGCUAAUACCGGAUAAUAUAUUGAACCGCAUGGUUCAAUAGUGAAAGACGGUUUUGCUGUCACUUAUAGAUGGAUCCGCGCCGCAUUAGCUAGUUGGUAAGGUAACGGCUUACCAAGGCAACGAUGCGUAGCCGACCUGAGAGGGUGAUCGGCCACACUGGAACUGAGGCACGGUCCAGACUCCUACGGGAGGCAGCAGUAGGGAAUCUUACGCAAUGGGCGAAAGCCUGACGGAGCAACGCCGCGUGAGUGAUGAAGGUCUUCGGAUCGUAAAACUCUGUUAUUAGGGAAGAACAAAUGUGUAAGUAACUAUGCACGUCUUGACGGUACCUAAUCAGAAAGCCACGGCUAACUACGUG